UACGUAGGGUGCAAGCGUUAAUCGGAAUUACUGGGCGUAAAGCGUGCGCAGGCGGUGAUGUAAGACAGAUGUGAAAUCCCCGGGCUCAACCUGGGAACUGCAUUUGUGACUGCAUCGCUGGAGUGCGGCAGAGGGGGAUGGAAUUCCGCGUGUAGCAGUGAAAUGCGUAGAUAUGCGGAGGAACACCGAUGGCGAAGGCAAGCCCCUGGGCCUGCACUGACGCUCAUGCACGAAAGCGUGGGGAGCAAACAGG
rnacentral:rRNA from 1 species